GUGAGUCAUCGAAUCUUUGAACGCACCUUGCGCUCCUUGGUAUCCAUCCCGAGGAGCAUGCCUGUUUGAGUGUCGUGAAAUUCUCAAUCUCGUUAAAUUUUUGAUGAGUUUGGAUUCUGGAGGCUUUGCUGGCGAAAGUUGGCUCCUCUGAAAUGCAUUAGUGAAACCUUUCCAAACGGAAAACGGGCUUUGGUUUGAUAAUUGCUUUUGUCUAUGCCAUUGCCGUCGCCGUGAUGAUUUCGCUUACAACUGUCCUUUGGACAAAUCUUGACCUCAUUUGACCUCAAAUCAGGUAGGACUACCCGCUGAACUUAAGCAUAUCAAUAAGCGGAGGA
rnacentral:misc_RNA from 1 species